AAGUCAGGAGGACUCCGCCCUCACAAAUGGUGUGUGUGCCCUUAUAAAAGAGGCUUGGGAGAGCCCGUUUUCUCCUUGCGCCCUGUGAGGACACAGCAAGAAGGUGCUAUCCGAGAGGGAUGAGCCCUCCCCAGACUCCGAAUCUGCCGGUGCCUUGAUCUUGGACUUGCCCACCUCCAGAACUGUCCAAAACCCGCAGGGUGGGCUGGCAGGCUGGAGACCCAGGGAUGAGCCCGUGCCACGGUUCGAGCGCAAAGGCCGGCGGCCGCACGGUUCCAUCUUGCUUGGGGGAGAAACAUCCAGAACGAUGCUUGACCACACAUCUCGGCACGGUGGCCCAACCAAGUUGACACAUGAAAUUAGCCAUCACAGGGUCAUUUAUGCAGAUGUUUGGCAAUUCGCCCCUGGCCCUGAGUGACGAGUGUGAACACCUUUGUGUGUCGGCCCUGCAGCUGGUUGGCUCCCGGUGACGCAGUCCUGUCGAAGGUGGUGUCGCUAUUCUCGUUCCGGCUGCCAGGGCUCCCGAAGCAGCGAGUCUCCACGCCUGCUUCGCCCCCACGCGCCCGGGAAUGUGAAUAUGCCCGGCCACCCUCAAAAAGGAAGAGGAUUCAUUCUUUCAAACAGACAAAGCUAGUUUUCGUUCACUCGUGGCCCCAGGAGAGUUUUCUGCACACCUGUCACGUGCUAGUCAUCAUGCUGGGUACAGGGAUGCAGCUUUGAACAUCAAACAGCCCUGCCGUGUGGAGCUUUGUGACAACUACGUGUAAUAAAUGAUGUCUGCACGUGA